rnacentral:rRNA from 1 species
GGUGAUCAUUACACAAAUAUGAAGGCGGGCUGGAACCUCUCGGGGUUACAGCCUUGCUGAAUUAUUCACCCUUGUCUUUUGCGUACUUCUUGUUUCCUUGGUGGGUUCGCCCACCACUAGGACAAACAUAAACCUUUUGUAAUUGCAAUCAGCGUCAGUAACAAAUUAAUAAUUACAACUUUCAACAACGGAUCUCUUGGUUCUGGCAUCGAUGAAGAACGCAAGCGAAAUGCUGAUAAGUAGUGUGAAUUGCAGAAUUCAGUGAAUCAUCGAAUCUUUGAACCGCACAUUGCGCCCUUUGGUAUUCCAAAGGGCAUGCCUGUUCGAGCGUCAUUUGUACCCUCAAGCUUUGCUUGGUGUUGGGCGUCUUGUCUCUAGCUUUGCUGGAGACUCGCCUUAAAGUAAUUGGCAGCCGGCCUACUGGUUUCGGAGCGCAGCACAAGUCGCACUCUCUAUCAGCAAAGGUCUAGCAUCCAUUAAGCCUUUUUUUCAACUUUUGACCUCGGAUCAGGUAGGGAUACCCGCUGAAC